rnacentral:tRNA from 2 species
GCCGAAGUGGCGGAAUUGGCAGACGCGCUAGGUUCAGGGUCUAGUGGGCUUAAGCUCGUGGGGGUUCGAGUCCCCCCUUCGGCACCA